rnacentral:rRNA from 1 species
CUCAGGACGAACGCUGGCGGCGUGCUUAACACAUGCAAGUCGAACGGUGACCCAGGGCUUGCCCUGGUGAUCAGUGGCGAACGGGUGAGUAACACGUGGGCAACCUGCCCCUGACUUCGGGAUAACUCCUCGAAAGAGGAGCUAAUACCGGAUACGACCACUUCGGACAUCCGAUGGUGGUGGAAAGUUUUUCGGUCAGGGGAUGGGCCCGCGGCCUAUCAGCUAGUUGGUGGGGUAAUGGCCUACCAAGGCGACGACGGGUAGCCGGCCUGAGAGGGCGACCGGCCACACUGGGACUGAGACACGGCCCAGACUCCUACGGGAGGCAGCAGUGGGGAAUAUUGCGCAAUGGGCGAAAGCCUGACGCAGCGACGCCGCGUGAGGGAUGAAGGCCUUCGGGUUGUAAACCUCUUUCAGCAGGGACGAAGCGAAAGUGACGGUACCUGCAGAAGAAGCACCGGCUAACUACGUG